UACGUAGGGUGCAAGCGUUGUCCGGAAUUAUUGGGCGUAAAGAGCUCGUAGGCGAUUUGUCGCGUCUGCCGUGAAAGUCCGGGGCUCAACUCCGGAUCUGCGGUGGGUACGGGCAGACUAGAGUGAUGUAGGGGAGACUGGAAUUCCUGGUGUAGCGGUGAAAUGCGCAGAUAUCAGGAGGAACACCGAUGGCGAAGGCAGGUCUCUGGGCAUUAACUGACGCUGAGGAGCGAAAGCAUGGGGAGCGAACAGG
rnacentral:rRNA from 1 species